UCAAUUGAUCUACCAACCUGAUGAAACUAUUUACGGAUACUUAUCCAAGGCACUAGUGGUCAUAACCCAUUCAAUAUGCAGUGUGUUGUGAUGCAAUGCGUGUUUGCAUCUCUCUGCGCCAUUGUUGUCUGCUCUGUUAGAACUAACAUCUCACACUAGUUUCAACAGUAGCUGCUCGCAAUUUUGAAGGCUGCACGAGUGACAACCGUUAUGCACGUAACACGUGAUAGAUAACGUCACUUCCGCUUCCGGAUUAGAGGGCACGCUAAGAAAACAGGUGAUAUCUCCGAAGCGGAAAGACUUUGGAAGGAAGAAUUCAAGUUGUGGACCAAACAGUACAUGGAGGACUGGAAAGCGCAGUAUAAAGACUACGUCAACUACAGAGACCAGGGCUGCCCUAGGCCGUCAAAUUAGAGCGAUCUAUUGGUAGCUGACAAUGCACAAAUAAAAAAGACAAUCACUUGUAUAUUACUAGUAAUACACAAGUAUGUUUCGCUCCCAGAAACUGGGAAUGUAGAAUGUUUUACAUAAAAACCGAUGGAUGUAGAGAGGGUAAUGACGUGUUGGAAAGUAUAUUUGAGAAGUAUGAAAAUUGUUGUCAGUAAAAUUGUUUGCCAGCAGAGAGUAUUUUCACAUCGUAUUUAUACUACAUGUAACACACAAAGUAUCAAAUAUAUGACAUAAUAAACAGUGUGUUGUUAAA